ensembl:snRNA U7 U7 small nuclear RNA
GAGUGUUACAGCCCUUUUAGAAUUUGUCUAGCAAGUUUAGAAAAUGAUUCAAGGAGACUGAC